rnacentral:snoRNA from 1 species
ACCUUCCAGAUUUCUUACCAAUCUGAUCUAAAACUGGACUGUGUGGUUGUAAAAGGAUAAAAAGUAAAACUGAAAUCUGACAAAU